rnacentral:rRNA from 1 species
GAGGAAUAUUGGUCAAUGGGCGAGAGCCUGAACCAGCCAAGUCGCGUGAAGGAUGACUGUCUUAUGGAUUGUAAACUUCUUUUAUACGGGAAUAACAAGAGCCACGUGUGGCUCCCUGCAUGUACCGUAUGAAUAAGCAUCGGCUAACUCCGUGCCAGCAGCCGCGGUAAUACGGAGGAUGCGAGCGUUAUCCGGAUUUAUUGGGUUUAAAGGGUGCGUAGGCGGCCUGUUAAGUCAGCGGUGAAAUCUAGGAGCUUAACUCCUAAAUUGCCAUUGAAACUGGCGGGCUUGAGUGUAGAUGAGGUAGGCGGAAUGCGUGGUGUAGCGGUGGAAUGCAUAGAUAUCACGCAGAACUCCAAUUGCGAAGGCAGCUUACUAAGGUACAACUGACGCUGAAGCACGAAAGCGUGGGUAUCAAACAGGAUUAGAUACCCUGGUAGUCCACGCAGUAAACGAUGAUAACUGGGCGUAUGCGAUAUACAGUAUGCUCCUAAGCGAAAGCGUUAAGUUAUCCACCUGGGGAGUACGCCGGCAACGGUG